UCAAUCAGCAGAGAGAGACGACAUGAGUAAUGCUCCUCAUCUCAGUGUUUCUUUCUUUGUCCUGUGUCUUGCAGUGACCAUUCUUGGUAAAAGUGUUGUCCAGACUCCUCCUGAUCUCCUGAAGAUAGAAAAGGACUUUGCAGAGAUUGAAUGUUCACACAAAGUACAAAGCUAUAAUGUCAUACAGUGGUACAAACAAAGCCAGAGCAUCAUGGACCUUCAGCUCAUGGGAUUCCUUAAUAUUGGUCUUGAGAACAAAGAGACUGCGUUUGAAAACAAGAUCAAUCUGAAAGGAGAUGGAAGAAAUAAUGGCACUCUGAUUAUCAACGACCUCACACUAACUGACAGUGCAGUGUAUUUCUGUGCAGCAUAUGACACAGUGCUCAGAAUCACAUCUGUCUAAUACAAAAACUCCUCCCCUGUUACAAGAUUAUCAGUGACUGCAAAUUCAUUCCCAGUCUGCAUCUGGACUAGUGGUUCAGUGAUUAUAAUGCACACCAGCAGCUUAGCAGUACACAAAGAAGGGAAUUUAAAAGUUUAUGAUUUUGAAUACUUGUUUUUAAUCAUUAAUAAUUCUAAUUAAUUCUAAAUCUAAUUUAUAUGAUCAUUCAGAUGCUGACAUAUCUGUAAAUCCACACAAGUUCAACUGGAUGUCGUCAGUAUGAUUCAUUAUAAUUAAGAGCAGUUCAAAAAUGAGCUUUCAGGACAGAAUGCCAAAUCUUUUAUCCCUUUUGCUCUAUAUACAUUUAUAUGUAUAUAUUAUUAUAUACCUUUUUUUAAUGUGUAAUUCAGUUGAGUACAAUAACUAUGAAAUGUUAAACUUUUAA